rnacentral:rRNA from 1 species
CAGCCGCCGCGGGAAUACGAAGGGGGCUAGCGUUGCUCGGAAUGACUGGGCGUAAAGGGCGCGUAGGCGGCGAUCAAAGUCAGGCGUGAAAUUCCUGGGCUCAACCUGGGGGCUGCGUUUGAUACUUGAUUGCUAGAGUGGGGAAGAGGGUCGUGGAAUUCCCAGUGUAGAGGUGAAAUUCGUGGAUAUUGGGAAGAACACCGGUGGCGAAGGCGGCGACCUGGUCCUUGACUGACGCUGAGGCGCGAAAGCGUGGGGAGCAAACAGGAUUAGAUACCCCUGUAGUCCCUGUCUCUUAUAC